UACGAAGGGGGCUAGGCGUUGCUCGGAAUCACUGGGCGUAAAGCGCACGGUAGGCGGAUUGCUAAGUCAGGGGUGAAAUCCAUGGAGCCGUCCAACUCCAGAACUGCCCUUGAUACUGGCGGUCGUCGGAGUCCGGGAGAGGUGAGUGGAACUGCGAAGUGUAGAGGUGAAAUUCGUAGAUAGUUCGCAAAGAACACCCAGUGGCGGAAGGCGGACUCACUGGCCCGGUACUAGACGGCUGAGGUGGCGAAAGCGUGGGGAGCAAACAGG
rnacentral:rRNA from 1 species